CAGUAGCCACGGUAAUACGGAGGGAGCUAGCGUUGUUCGGAAUUACUGGGCGUAAAGUGCACGUAGGCGGCUUGGUAAGUUAGAGGUGAAAGCCCGGAGCUCAACUCCGGAAUUGCCUUUAAGACUGCCGAGCUAGUAGGUGAGAGAGGUAAGUGGAAUUCCGAGUGUAGAGGUGAAAUUCGUAGAUAUUCGGAAGAACACCAGUGGCGAAGGCGGCUUACUGGCUCAUUCUAGACGCUGAGGUGCGAAAGCGUGGGGAGCAAACAGGAUUAGAUACCCGCGUAGUCCCCUGUCUCUUAUA
rnacentral:rRNA from 1 species